rnacentral:misc_RNA from 1 species
UCUCCGUUGGUGAACCAGCGGAGGGUUCAUUACCGAGUUUACAACUCCCAAACCCAAUGUGAACCAUACCAAACUGUUGCCUCGGCGGGGUCACGCCCCGGGUGCGUCGCAGCCCCGGAACCAGGCGCCCGCCGGAGGAACCAACCAAACUCUUUCUGUAGUCCCCUCGCGGACGUUAUUUUUACAGCUCUGAGCAAAAAUUCAAAAUGAAUCAAAACUUUCAACAACGGAUCUCUUGGUUCUG